CAUCACCCGAGUCCUCAAGCCUCGUAAGCAUAACCAUACUACCAUUUCUCAAGAGGACACUAAGCUCAUGCAUGCCAUAAUAACCGGAGCUAACAUCAACUGGUGUCGGCUUAUCAAAAUUCACAUGCGUGACGCUAUCGGAGAUGAUAGGCCUCUUCCUUAUGUUCUCCUCAUCAUGAACUUUCUUGAAGCCACCGGAUUCGUCAUUGGAAAUGGUCCUCUCAAAAGGAGUACCAAAA
rnacentral:lncRNA from 1 species